rnacentral:rRNA from 1 species
UACAGAGGUCCCGAGCGUUGUUCGGAUUCAUUGGGCGUAAAGGGUGCGUAGGCGGCGGGGUAAGUUUGAUGUGAAAUCCCGGGGCUCAACCCUGGAAUUGCAUUGAAUACUACCUUGCUAGAGUACCGGAGAGGAGACUGGAAUUUACGGUGUAGCAGUGAAAUGCGUAGAGAUCGUAAGGAAGACCAGUGGCGAAGGCGGGUCUCUGGACAGUUCCUGACACUGAGGCACGAAGGCCAGGGGAGCAAACGGG